GGUCUCACUGAUCCCUCCUUCCUGAUGAACCUUAAUGCCAUUAAUUUGGUGUUUUGGAGAAUUCGGACUGCUACUUUGAAAAAAUUAGAGUGUUUAAAGCAAGCUAACGCUUGAAUACAUUAGCAUGGAAUAAUGAAAUAGGACGUUCGAUCCUAUUUUGUUGGUUUCUAGGAUUGACGUAAUGAUUAAU
rnacentral:rRNA from 1 species